GACGAACGCUGGCGGCGUGCUUAACACAUGCAAGUCGAACGGAAAGGCCCUGCUUUUGUGGGGUGCUCGAGUGGCGAACGGGUGAGUAACACGUGAGUAACCUGCCCUUGACUUUGGGAUAACUUCAUGAAACUGGGGCUAAUACCGGAUAGGAGCUCCUGCUGCAUGGUGGGGGUUGGCACGUUUCGGCGGUUGGGGAUGGACUCGCGGCUUAUCAGCUUGUUUGUGGGGUAGUGGCUUACCAAGGCUUUGACGGGUAGCCGGCCUGAGAGGGUGACCGGGCCCAAUGGGGCUCAGAGACGGGCCAGACUCCCACGGGGGGGACGGGGGGGGAAAAUUUUGGAAAGGGGGGAAGCCCGCGAUCGACAAAUCGCGGGUGGGAGAAGCGGCGUCGGGUUGUAAACCGCUUUCGCCUGUGACGAAGCGUGAGUGACGGUAAUGGGUAAAGAAGCACCGGCUAACUACGUG
rnacentral:rRNA from 1 species